GGGGGGGGCUCUAUCAGUGGAACAAAGUCACUGAGAUUAGCAGCGUUGAGGGUGAGAGUCAACACACUCAAAACAUCAAAUGAUCGUGUGUUUGCCUUAUUGGACAGAUGCAGCGAAGGCUGAGGAUCACCGUGUCACCUCAGCUGGAUUCUGAUCUUCUGCUGGAGGAUGAGGAGACAGGAACCGGUUAGAGAAGAAAGGAACACAGCUGUAAUCAGGCCUUGUCUGACCUGAGUCAAGUUAUGGACCUAGGAAUUAGAUCUAGAACCUUUCAACUGAGCCUUCAACCCCACCUGCUCCCUACCCAAGACCUGCUUUUGGAUGCCUCUCCUGGAGCUCUCCCAACCUGUCUGCAGUUUCUCCGCCAGGCCUGCCCCUCCCUCAUCCGUCACACUGGGCCCCUGCCCUGGAAACGACCAUUCUGCUGUGCAAUUAUUCCAUACCUCGAAGUCAACAUGCUAAGCAAAGUUCAAGCUCCAAAACCCUUGCUCUUCACAACCCUGUGGGCUACUGGUGCCAAAUGGAGUGCCUACCCGCCCCACUACCGCCACACAAUGAACUUAAGGUCACCGUCUGGAAUCUCCUCCCUCAGUGAGAGUUCGCCAGCCCUUGGCUUGGAUCCUCUGUGCUCUGGGCUGAGCUGUGACAGUUGUCCUGACAGAUGUGAAGGCAGAAACAAGGGGAAAAGCAACAUGGCAGUCUAAAAGCAAGUGCUGUGUGGAGCGCCUGGGAUAAGGAGGUUGCCGUGUGCUAGCCUGACGAUCUGGGCUUGAUACCCAGGACCCGUGGGGAUUUCUCAGCGUUGUCCUCUGCUCUCCACAUGGGCUCUGCGGCAUGGGUACACUCACACACACACACACCCCAGAGAAACACAAUAAAAGCUGCACCGAUAAAA